rnacentral:tRNA from 2 species
AAAAUCCGUCGAUUUAAAAAAUCGUGAGGGUUCAAGU